rnacentral:lncRNA from 1 species
CUCUUCGAAACCUCCGACACCAUCGAGACACACAACGUCAGGCGCACCCUGCCUGCGAAUUUCGUCGCUGGAAGCUGCCCCACGCGCCGCCGACGCGCCGCCAGUGAACCCACGCGCCACGCGCGUGAACAGUGUUCCGGCCACUUUUUCAACCGGCUUCUUUUGGACAGUUUUUUCCCCUUAUAAUUCCGACCAACUUGGUACUUUCGGAAUAUUUCCCUGCUCACUUUCAUUUUACACCCUUGCCUCUCAUCACUUCAAUUGCGCCCCCGAGGAGACAUAUGGUCGCUUCUCUUUGUUAGCUUAACUGCAGCUUUGGGCACGCGCGUGGACAGUGUUCCGGCCACUUUUUCAACCGGCUUCCUUUGGACAGUUUUCCCCUUAUAAUUUCGACCAACUUGGUACUUUCGGAAUAUUUCCCUGCUCACUUUCAUUUUACACCCUUGCCUCUUAUCACUUCAAUUGCGCACCCGAGGAGACAUAUGGUCGCUUCUCUUUGUUAGCUUAACUGCAGCUUUGGACGUCAACUUCAUUUCACCUGCAGCACUCAGUUGCUAUUGUUUAAGUAAAUUACACUCUUUAAGUUCUUCUUUUUCUGUCCUCUUUCUUGUUAUUGUUGUUGUUUGUGCAAUUUGUUACUCUUUGAUGAAAUCUUGCUUUCGUAUCCAAACCCAUCUGUAAAUUUUCCGUCUUUAUACUGAUAAAAAAUCUGGAGCAUAUCGAUUCGCGUUGUAGCUUCUGUUUUAUUAGGGUUUAAGAGU